UUCCGGUUGAUCCUGCCGGAGGUCACUGCUAUUGGGAUUCGACUAAGCCAUGCGAGUCGAGAGGGUUCGGCCCUCGGCUGACGGCUCAGUAACACGUGGAUAAUCUGCCCUAAGGUGGAGGAUACCCUCGGGAAACUGAGAAUAAUACUCCAUAGGCCUAGGAUGCUGGAAUGCACUUAGGCUAAAAGCUCCGGCGCCCUAGGAUGAGUCUGCGGACUAUCAGGUUGUAGUCAGGGUAAAGACCUGACUAGCCUACGACGGAUACGGGUUGUGAGAGCAAUAACCCGGAGAUGAUAUCUGAGACACGAUAUCAGGCCCUACGGGGCGCAGCAGGCGCGAAAACUUCACAAUGUGCGAAAGCACGAUGAGGGAAUCCCAAGUGCUUGCUCGUAAGAGUAAGCUGUUUCUAUGUUUAAAACGCAUGGAGAGUAAGGGCUGGGUAAGACGGGUGCCAGCCGCCGCGGUAAUACCUGCAGCUCUAGUGGUGACCGCUAUUAUUGGGCCUAAAACGUCCGUAGCCGGUUUAAUAAAUGCCUGGGUAAAUCGUGUAGCUUAACUAUACGAAUUCCGGGUAGACUGUUAAACUUGAGACCGGGAGGAGUUAGAGGUACUCCUGGGGUAGAGGUGAAAUUCUGUAAUCCUAGGGGGACCACCAGUGGCGAAGGCGUCUGACUAGAACGGGUCUGACGGUGAGGGACGAAGCCCUGGGGCGCAAACCGGAUUAGAUACCCGGGUAGUCCAGGGUGUAAACGCUGCUUGCUUGAUGUUAGUCGGGCUCCGAGCCCGAUUAGUGUCGGAGAGAAGUUGUUAAGCAAGCUGCCUGGGAAGUACGGUCGCAAGGCUGAAACUUAAAGGAAUUGGGCGGGGGAGCACAGCAACGGGUGGAGCGUGCGGUUUAAUUGGAUCAACGCGGAAUC
rnacentral:rRNA from 1 species